rnacentral:tRNA from 1 species
AGGAUAGUAGUUUUAAAAAAAACAUUUAAUUUGCAUUUAAAAAUUACCUUGAUUGGGUUUAUCUUA